AAUAUUUUAAGCAAUAAAACCACUGAGAUAAAUCCCAAUUUAAUAUUUAUAUAAGAAAUAAUAAAAACAUAAACAAUGAUUACGAAAACACGUACAGUAGCGGACAGUGAAAUCCGGACAACCCGUCGAUUUGUAUUUAAAGCACGAUUGUAACCGACAAGUGUAAUUUUUUGCGGAAAGGUUUAUUCGUUCACUUAAAUUAGUGCUCUGUACACGUUUUCUAACAACUUUUAGUUUUAUUUUUCAAUAGUUUCAAAGUUUAUUUUGUGCUCGUGCUUGGUUAAAGGUUAAAUAUGCCAAAUUAAAAAAAAUGUCCGAAUUGCAGAAAAGUAAUAUUUUGAUUUUCCGAAAAGAAAAUCUGACCAUUCGGGAAAUUAGUGAUAGAGUUGGCUUCAGCAUGUCUUCCAUUAGAGAAUUUCUAAAAAAUUUCGAUAAAACCAGGUCUAUUAAGAGAAAAACUGGCUCUGGAGCAAAGAAGUAGACAAGUUCUAGGGAAGAUCAGGUAAUACAUUCUAUCAGCUUGAGGGAUCACUUCAAAAAUGCUGAGGACAUUAAGUGGAGUUAUUUAAAGAUGUCGAUAUGGCGCAAGAACUGUUCGUCGAAAACUUCAAGAGGUUGAUUUGAACGCUCGUCGGGCUGCCAAAAAACACUUUUAACCUCAAAAAUGCGUCAAAACCGUUUACUAUGGACAAAAGAACAUCAAAAUUGGACUCAACUUGAUUGGCGAAAUGUAAUUUUUUCACAUGAGUCCAAAUUUAACAUUUUUUGCAGCGACGGUAUGACCUACGUGCGAAGGAGAACUGGUGAUCAGGAGAUACUUGUAACGAAUUUAAUACCUUGAAUGAGAAACCACUUUUCGCGAGCGGAUGUCCUUAUUUUUCAGGAUGACUCUGCGCCCUGCCAUCGUGCCAAAAUAGUGAAGAAUUAUUUAUCAAAAAUCGGGGUCUCGACUUUGGAGUGGUCAGGAAACAGUCUGGAUCUCAAUCCCAUUGAGAACCUUUGGUUUAUAAUGAAGGCUCAGGUAGAACAGAAGAGACCAACGAAUUUAGCAGAGCUGAAUGGAAUUCUCGAAGAAGCGUGGUCAUAACUUCAAUGCCCGGGCGUGUAAAAGCCGUUAUAAAAAGCAAAGGAAGUUUGACAAAAUACUAAAACGAGUGCUUUUGUAUAGAUUAAUAUUUCCUUUAAUUAAAACUAUAAAAUCAUUUCCCCAAUGUAGAUAAAACAAAGUUAUCACUGUUUAUAUUGCUAGUUACCAAAAUGAUACAAUACCUAAAAUGAAUAAAAUAAAAAUUUUUGUAAGUGCAAUCCACUA